UGCGGUGAUGAUUGUUUGCUUACUUUCUGACACCUCUUGUAUGAGAAGCGCCUCCUCAUCCUCUGGAGGAGAAGAGCACUUCGCUGAGCAGGUUGUAGCAACUUCCUGAGCU